UUUUUGCUUCAUUGUUCCCUCAACAAACCAUUUGGAAUUAUUUUUACCAUGUGAGCUGAUUCAAUGCACCUAGACAAGUGAGUAUCAUCAUUUGUUACAUUUUUCCUUACUCUUCUCUCCUUACUAUCGUCCACCACCUUGACUCAUCCCAUUUUCUCUCAUUUUUUUUCUUUCACUUUGGCUAUCAACCACCACAUUUACACUAUUUUCCUUCUCUCCUCCACCACAUCCUUACCAACUGAACCACCGCUAGACCUUCCCUUUUGUAGCCAAUCCUUUCCUUUUUGGUUUUGCUCCACCGCCGCUUAGCACCACCAUACACCACCAUUGAAAGCAACCUUCUUUUCUCUCUUCAUCUUCUCUAUUUCUUUUUCCCUUUGCAAUCUCUCCUUAUUUCCUCUUGUGCCACAACCCUAUUUUCUCGUCCUCCUCUGUUGAGUCCUUGCCGAACCACCAUCGCCACUAUCGUCACACCUCCACCG
rnacentral:lncRNA from 1 species